rnacentral:rRNA from 1 species
GGUAGGGCUACACACGUCAUCAAUGGCCGGUACAGAGGGCUGCCAACCCGCAGGGGGAGCCAAUCCCAGAAAACCGGUCGUAGUCCGGAUCGUAGUCUGCAACUCGACUGCGUGAAGUCGGAAUCGCUAGUAAUCGCGGAUCAGCUUGCCGCGGUGAAUACGUUCCCGGGUCUU